rnacentral:rRNA from 1 species
GAUGAACGCUAGCGGCAGGCUUAAUACAUGCAAGUCGAGGGGCAGCAUGGUGUAGCAAUACACUGAUGGCGACCGGCAAACGGGUGCGGAACACGUACGCAACCUUCCUUUAAGUGGAGAAUAGCCCAGGGAAACUUGGAUUAAUACUCCGUAACAUAUAGAAGUGGCAUCACUUUUAUAUUAUAGCUCAGGCGCUUAGAGAUGGGUGUGCGGCUGAUUAGGUAGUUGGCGGGGUAACGGCCCACCAAGCCUGCGAUCAGUAACUGGUGUGAGAGCACGACCAGUCACACGGGCACUGAGACACGGGCCCGACUCCUACGGGAGGCAGCAGUGAGGAAUAUUGGUCAAUGGGCGCAAGCCUGAACCAGCCAUCCCGCGUGCAGGAAGACGGCGCUAUGCGUUGUAAACUGCUUUUCCAGGGGGUGAAUUUUCCGGUCGUGACCGGAAUUGACGGUACCCUGGGAAUAAGCAUCGGCUAACUCCGUGCCAGCAGCCGCGGUAAUACGGAGGAUGCGAGCGUUAUCCGGAUUUAUUGGGUU